AUUGACCGCUGGCGGCAGGCUUAACACAUGCAAGUCGAGCGAGCGGCGGCCGGGUGAGUAAUGUCUGGGAAACUGCCUGAUGGCGGGGAAUAACUACUGGAAACGGUAGCUAAUACCGCAUACCAUCAGAUGUGCCCAUAUGGGCUUAGCUAGUAGGUGGGGUAAUGGAUCACCGAGGCGACGAUCCCUAGCUGGUCUGAGAGGAUGACCAGCCACACGGGAACGGAGACACGGCCCAGACUCCUACGGACGGCAGCAGUGGGGACAAUGGCACAAGGGGCGCAAGCCUGAUGCAGCCAUGCCGCGUGUGUGAAGAAGGCCUUCGGGUUGUAAAGCACUUUCAGCGAGGAGGCGUUACUCGCAGAAGAAGCACCGGCUAACUCCGGGCCAGCAGCCGCGGUAAUAC
rnacentral:rRNA from 1 species